AUAUUAUUUUAUUACAAGAAUAUUAAAUGAAUAAUAUAUUUCUAGACAUUUUCUCAAUAGUUGUUAUCAGCAUAUUAAAGACAAUAGUAAACCCUGAAAUACAUAAUAUACAAAAUAAAGAGUACCCACUAUUUGUGCAUCCAUUGACAAUAUUGAUAUCAAUCAUUAUUAUUAGUAAUUCAAUCAGAAACUAUUAGUUUUAUGAUUUAUGAUAAUCGCAUUUUAGAUUAAAUCAUUAAUCUAAUUUUAUGUUAACACUUAACAACAUAGUUAAAUAUGUGAUAACCUAGUUGGCUAGGUACCUAAAAUAUCCUAAUAUAAUAGCGCAUUGAAGAAACAUAAAUCAAUUGGAAAAUAUAUGUUGAUACUGUGAAAGUGCUGUGAAUGUUUUGAGUAGAUCAUAAAAACGACACAAAUAAUAUUCAGAUGAAAGAUGGUUGUGCCCGAAAUGUGGCCGCAAUUACAAACGCAAAGCCCAUUUAAGUUUUCACUUGGCCAAAGAGUGUGGGGUUGGCCCUCAAUAUAAUUGCUCGAAAUGUUUCAAAUUUUUCAAGCGUAGUAGUCAUUUGAAGAGUCACCAACUAUCGUGCGGUGAUGUUUCACCAAAAUUUCAAUGUGACAUUUGUAAAAAGAAAUUCACACGCAAGGACAACAUGAAAACUCACAAAAA